UACGUAGGGGGCUAGCGUUGUCCGGAAUCAUUGGGCGUAAAGAGCGUGUAGGCGGUCCGGUAAGUCCGCUGUGAAAGUCGGGGGCUCAACCCUCGAAUGCCGGUGGAUACUGUCGGGCUAGAGUGCGGAAGAGGCGAGUGGAAUUCAUGGUGUAGCAGUGAAAUGCGUAGAGAUCAUGAGGAAGACCAGUGGCGAAGGCGGGUCUCUGGACAGUUCCUGACACUGAGGCACGAAGGCCAGGGGAGCAAACGGG
rnacentral:rRNA from 1 species